rnacentral:rRNA from 1 species
AUUGAACGCUGGCGGCAUGCCUUACACAUGCAAGUCGAACGGUAACAGGUUAAGCUGACGAGUGGCGAACGGGUGAGUAAUGUAUCGGAACGUGCCCAGUCGUGGGGGAUAACUGCUCGAAAGAGCAGCUAAUACCGCAUACGACCUGAGGGUGAAAGCGGGGGAUCGCAAGACCUCGCGCGAUUGGAGCGGCCGAUAUCAGAUUAGGUAGUUGGUGAGGUAAAGGCUCACCAAGCCGACGAUCUGUAGCUAGUCUGAGAGGACGACCAGCCACACUGGGACUGAGACACGGCCCAGACUCCUACGGGAGGCAGCAGUGGGGAAUUUUGGACAAUGGGCGCAAGCCUGAUCCAGCCAUGCCGCGUGCGGGAAGAAGGCCUUCGGGUUGUAAACCGCUUUUGUCAGGGAAGAAAAGGUUCUGGCUAAUACCUGGGACUCAUGACGGUACCUGAAGAAUAAGCACCGGCUAACUACGUG